rnacentral:rRNA from 1 species
CACGGGGGGAGCAAGCGUUGUUCGGAAUCACUGGGCGUAAAGGGCGUCUAGGCGGUCAGAUAAGUGGGAUGUGAAAUGCCCCGGCUCACCCGGGGACCGGCAUCCCAAACUGUCUGGCUUGAGUAUGGGAGAGGAUGUGGGAAUUCCUGGUGUAGCGGUGAAAUGCGUAGAUAUCUGGAGGAACACCGGUGGCGAAGGCGGCAUUCUGGACUGCAACUGACACUGAAGAACGAAAGCCAGGGGAGCAAACGGG